CACAGAAUUCCCUACGACUGGCUAUCAUCUUCCAGGAGCCUUUCCCAGCAUGCUAUCCUGGUGCCUGGCCCUUUAAAUCUGGGCUGGUGAAUCAGCUGCAGCCCUAUGGUAGUCCUCUGGCUGCUGAGUGCUGCAGGUUGGAACUCCAGCCUUUCUCGCUGACCAAUAUGGCUGUCACGAGAACUGACAGUUUUGAAUGCACAACCACUUCUGCUUGCAGCCUCAUGUUCCCCUCCCCAGUAUCAAAGGUGGCCUCUAAAAAUGCAGACCCUGCAUGUGCAAGAGGAGGAAAACCCUCCCCUUGGUUCCAUAUUUUUAAUAUGGCUUUUCAUAAGAAAACUUUAACAGUAUGUUUCAACUGUAAACAAAUCAUUUGAGACAACAAACCAACACGAUUGAUCUAGCUGUUUGCAUUUCACAACACAGGCCUGGACUGGCUUUGAAAUGCUAAUUUUCUCCCUUGCAAAAGAAGGAAUGAAGCUACAACAGAAUCCAAAACAAGAACACAGCCCCGAGCCCUUCUCCAACUGGAUUGAUCCCAUGCCUACCUAACCCAGAAACACAAAACACUGCCAGGCAAGGAAGAAUCCGGCCGAAGUACCAGCAAAGGGCUUCAGUAAAAUCUGGCCAAGAGACCCCAUGUCGACUUCGUUAACACGAGUGACAUUAAAUCAGGGAAGGAAAAGGGGCAGUGUAAUGAAGUCUCCCCAGGAAUGCAAGCCUUCGCCCACAGGCCAGCAAGAAAUUGACAAAGCCCCACGUGUAAUUAUUUCCUUUAAGUGAACAGUUUUUUUUUUAAAACUACACUUGUUAUCCGCUUCCUCCCCCCGUCUUCAUCCACGUGUACGGAGUUAAAGCCGUUCUCACCUUACAUAACAUCCCCCCGUUUGAAAAACACAACCGAAAAACGGGUACACCGCAUUUUACUACACGGGCUUUCUCCGUAUUCCUCAGCUCCGUGUGGGGGUGGGAAGAGGUUCACUCCGUAGUGAAUCCUCUCCCCAGCUCUGGAGCAAGCUUCCCCUAUGAAUUCUCUCCCCCACCACAGAAAUCGGGGCGAAGAGAGACCAGACCACGUUUCUAUGCUUCAUUCCACGGCCCAGGAGAGCCACAGAUUUGGUUACAGCGCAAUACAUAAAUUGGUACCAGCAGCUCUGCAAAGCCGGUUCCCCCCCCCCCAGGAAAUUACAUGAAUAAAAUGUAUUCUCCCCUCUUCCUUCUACCCACAACAGCAGCAACAGACAUGACGUGCGAGGCCUCGCGAGUUGCUGGCCCCUGAAGGCACUUGCUGCAAU